rnacentral:rRNA from 1 species
GACGAACGCUGGUGGCGUGCCUAAUACAUGCAAGUAGAACGCUGAAGAGAGGAGCUUACUCUUCUUGGAUGAGUUGCGAACGGGUGAGUAACGCGUAGGUAACCUGCCUUGUAGCGGGGGAUAACUAUUGGAAACGAUAGCUAAUACCGCAUAACAAUGGAUGACACAUGUCAUUUAUUUGAAAGGGGCAAUUGCUCCACUACAAGAUGGACCUGCGUUGUAUUAGCUAGUAGGUGAGGUAAUGGCUCACCUAGGCGACGAUACAUAGCCGACCUGAGAGGGUGAUCGGCCACACUGGGACUGAGACACGGCCCAGACUCCUACGGGAGGCAGCAGUAGGGAAUCUUCGGCAAUGGGGGCAACCCUGACCGAGCAACGCCGCGUGAGUGAAGAAGGUUUUCGGAUCGUAAAGCUCUGUUGUAAGUCAAGAACAGGUGUGAGAGUGGAAAGUUCACACUGUGACGGUAGCUUACCAGAAAGGGACGGCUAACUACGUG